GAAGGAAGGAUUUACUCCCGAGUAAGCAUGGCUUGGAUCGGACUGCAAAAAUAUUCUUUAGCUAUGCUCUCUCUGUAUAUUUUAAUGCUAUUUCAUUAUUUUAUUUAUUAAAAAGGAGCGGAGCCCAUGAGCCGAGAAGAAAAGAACAACACCCCGUCGGUGUUCUAAACAUUAAUCAGUGCUGUAAUUAACAAAUUGCGUCGCCUCGCGGGGAGCCCGCGCGUCUUUCAAUCGCGACCUCUUUCUUUCGUCUUGCCCAUCAAUCAGAAAGGAGUAAACUAUUGCCUCGCCGAUUACUCUCCUGCGAUCUUCUGCCCAGAUCCCCAAACCCAAAAGUGAAAGAUCGUUCCAAACUUUUUUUUUUUUUUUUUGGCAGCGCCCGGGAGAUGCUUGGUGGGGGGGGGGGGGAGAGAGGAGAGAGGGAGAAGCCGCCCGUGCGCAUGUGCGAAGGUGUCUAAGCUAAACUGACAAUGCUGCGAGAGAUAGCAAGCUUUGGGUUGAGAGAAAGAGCGUGUGAGUGAGAAAGAGAGAGAGAGAGAGAAGUGGGGGAGGAAAAAAGAGAGGGAAAAAGAAAGAGAGAGCGCGCGAAGCAAAAGCCCGUCCAUUGAUUUCCCUCCCCCCCGUCCCAGAUCACCCCCCAACACCAUCACAGCAACGUCCGCGGGACUUGGGCGGCAAUGCGAUCCAAAGCCAGAGCGAGGAAACUAGCCACAAUGAAAGGGAGUGGAAGGAAAGCUUCUCGGCUGAAAAGCAGAGCAGACCUACGGAUUUUCUUUACUGGCUGGGUUAACCCUCCUCUCUCAACCUUGGCUGAAGAAAGAAAAGAGGAAAAAAAGAGGAAAAUUCGCUCCGUGUUGCCCCAGAUUGAAACAUCUUUUGCUUUUCUAAACCACAGGGAGCUUUCCUGGAAAGCAAGGCUGUCUGUUCGCCCUUUGCUUUCCCUGAAGGCUCAGAAUGAUUUCUGGAUCGCACCGGCUUCCUCGGGAGUAAAUGGCCCUCACGGGGUGGAGUGGGGGGGGGCGAAGAAAAGCAACCGGCCUGAGACAAAAAGCAGAAAGAACCGCCCGUUUUCCAACCUUCCGGAGAAUGGAUGUGAAAGCGAACGAAGGGUUUGGGACCUGGGCUUGGCUGAGCGGUGGCAACGCUAGUGUGAUGCGGGGGGUGUCAUUAUGAAAAGAGGCCAAAGCCCCUGCUUUCCUUGGCCAUCGGAGGCUGAAACCCAAGCGGAGCGCGCACGGUUCGAUCCAUAUCGCCUCCUUUUCUUGUCAUCGUCACAAAACAUCAAGACCCGUUUAGCCGGGAGGUUUCGCUUAUUGCCCUCAUCUCCGUCAGCGCGGGGAUUUAACUACAGACUCAAACCACCCGCUUUUGCUCUCAGCCUUUAAGUACAACAUCCCCCCCCUCCCUCCCUCCCUCCCUCCCUCCCUCCCUGGGUGUCGCCUUCCCCCCUUGCUCGCCUUUAUUGCCUGCAAAGGCUUGUAACGCAGCGUGCUUGGGAAGACGUGAGAUGCUCCGUGGCGUCUUCCUUCUUUACCUCCCAUGUCUUGCGUCUCUCUUUGUGAAAGUUGCAACUGCUGGUUUGUUGGGGCAGAGACCUUGGAUUGCAGUGGCGGUGUGUUUCUGGGGGUGCGCUGGUGCUGCUACGGCUUAUGUGCUGUGGAUGGUGGCAGCCACUACAUAGACCUGCUGCUAUUUAGGAGCAAAUACAGAUUUAGCGCUGUUGUAAUGGGCGUGUAUGCACAUUUAAUGUGGAUCGGACUUGCUUUCUGCCACACUGUCCAAGGACACUGUGUUUUCAAGGAAAAGUGGUUCAGGAAAGGUAAAAGCAUCUGUUACCUAUACAGGCUUAAAAUUUGGGAGAGCUACUUUUGGCAUUGAGUUUCACAAAGAGGAAAAUUCCCCAAACUCUGCCCAGGAUCUUAUAUUAAAUUUUAGUCCAACAUAACUGCUUCUGUUCUCCAGUUGCCUUCACACAAUGCCUAGCGUAGUCACAUAAGCACAUAUGGAUGUGUGAAAUCCUUUGCUUUCAGCUGUUCUUGCGACGUGCCUGAGAAGGUGUUUUGAGCUUGUUGAAGAUUAAUGCAUCCUUGUUAGUGUGUUGGUUUAAUUGCUGAUAAAUUGUCUCAGAGUGUGUGGGUAGAAAACUGAGUAGCUAUUCCUAUAAAACCAGCUUUUGAUCUGGGACAGGUGAGGUCAGUCCACCUUCAAGCCUAUAGCUGCACUGAAUUGUGGAUAUGUAUCCCUUAUACAAGUCAGUCUGAGUUCUUGGAGAACAAGGCAAUAGAGUCAACAGUCCUACAGCCUACAAGGAGAAGAGCAGAAGCUCUAAAAUGAGAGAAAAUGAAACUUCUAGCGUGGAAAUAAGCUACAGUAGGGAACUCCAGACUUUCCUAGACAGACAGAAUGAUAUUUCAACAGGCAUUGCAGGCUGUUCUGGACCAUUUUGGGUGAUGAAGGGUAUGUCUGAGGGGAAAAAAUUAUUCAAAGGCUCAGUGUGGUGAAAAUAUUUCGAAGGAGGAAGCUCAACAGUUAUUAGGAUCUCAUGUUUACUGGUUCUACUCCAUUCCAGAUACAUACUCCUCUAAAAAGAGAAGGCCUUUUCUGUGAUGGCACCCUGAUUUGCAACACUUUUUCCAAGAAAGUCAAUCAUACCAAGCACUAGCUUGCUAGGCACUAGGUGCAGAUAUUUUCCUUUGCCCAGGCAUUUCAAAUAGCAGGUGAUUUGUUUGGAAUAUUUCAGGGUUCUGUUUUAAAAAGUUGGUUUAUAGUUGGAUUUUUUUUGCAGCAUUUUAUUAAGUUUAUUUGGGAGGCCUUUCACUGAAUUCAAAUGAUAGCUUCACAAUUUUAUACACUGCUCUGGACUCUAUGGGUACAAGGAUGUUAAGCAAUGUUUUACUAAAUAGAGCCAUCACAGGUGGUCAUCAAGGAGAGAUCACCUACCACUGGACUUCAGGAAAAGCUAAGAGAAAAUUUUCAAGUGAGGCCAGCGCUGAGAUGGAAGAAAGUAAAGUGGUCACAAAAAGGGAUUACAAAGAUCGGGGGAACAGUAGGAAUUAAUGCCUGUUCUUGGUGUAGACUGGGAAUUUAGAGAUGGGAAUGCUAUCAGGAUUUUUUCCUGCACUGUUGCAGGAUUAAUUUCAAUUGUCUGGGAUAGCCAUGAAACCAUCCAAUAUCUAUUAUGAUUUAACAAGGUUUGAGUGUUUAGAGUUUUUUGGUUUGUAAUCUUCAGUUAGUAGACUGGAGACACUUGGAGCCAUGGAGUGCUAAGAGAGCUUAUCAGCUGUUUAUUACAGAACAUCAAGGGCCAGUUUCAAUGAUGUUUUUAAAUGCACUCAGCAAAGUUUUGGUGAUUUACAUGCAUUUGAACCUGGUGUUGUAAGUGGUUCAAACUUUAUGUUAAGUUGCAAACUUGCCUGGAAAAAACAGCUUGUGUGAAUUCAGGAACAAUAUUAUAGUUGUAUUGGGAUGGGAAAGGCUACUGCCUUGCAGCAUGUCACACAUGGAUAAGUAAAAUGUUUCUUUGUAUUUUUAUAUCACUGAAGUCCCAAGAUGGUGAACAAAUAUACACAACCAAUCAAGUUCAUAAAUGAGCCCAUUUCCUGGUGUACAAGAGCUGGCUAAGGUACAUGGUUUCUGAACCAAUAACCAUAUGUGAUUUGAUACCGUGUUGUGAGUUUAGCAUGACUUACUUCUGUAUCUGAUCUUUUUAGGGAGUAGUCACAAUAUGGCCAUUGAGAUUGGUCCUGAAUUUCAGGAUAUCUCUGUGUACGUGUGUUUGCUUUUUGCAUCGUGGUAGUCCAAAGCGUAUGAAGGGCACCAGGUUGAGUGAGGAAGCCUGGUAUGUGGCAUAUGCUGUCUAGAAUACACAGCAGUUCAGAUAUCAGUUGUCUGUGAAUCAUUCUGGUUGGAGUCUGCUUUACAGUUGAGUGUGCUUUUCUCCCUAACUCUAAAUGCUGUGUUUCUCUUCUUAGUAAAGGGGAAUUGAACUUGGCUGUAAACAGCAGAUUCAUUGGCCUAGAUGGGAAUUAAAAUAGGGCCCAUAAUUUUUUUCUCUCUCUCUUUCUGUGUUUUGAAAAAUAAGUCUGAUCUGGAGCUGCUUGUAGCCUUGAACCUAUAAGGUGAUGCUGUAGCUUUUAGAAGCUUCAUGUUGCUAUAAGAUUCGCCCUGUCUGGCAAUUGGUUUCCUUGCCUCCCAUCUGCUCUGCCAGUAUCUUUGUAAAUAAACAUCUGUAUCCAAAAAUACCA
rnacentral:lncRNA from 1 species